rnacentral:snoRNA from 1 species
GAAAAAUGAAGAUAUUCUGACUCUUUUGUAUUACUACAGUGAAGACUUCAGAUCCAACUCUGAUUUCACUCGAAUU